AAAAACAUGCCUUGGUGCUGUUAGCAUUGUGUUUUCCUGGGGGAAAAAGUGGAGAUUCUGCUCUGAUUACAUGUGUUAAAGAAGAAAAAGAGAGAUGUUGGUGGAGAUGACUGCAGAGUGGGCUUGUCCUCAGCACUUUCCUACAGCAUCCUUGUUCGUGGAGGCUACUGAAGGGGGCUGCCCAGAAGACAGAGAACAAGAUAUUCUAUUCUUCCUAUUGACUAUCGAAGAUAUAUGCAGCUAUGUGUGAAUUAAGAUGAAAGAAGUAAAAUAAUGAACUGUUGUGGAAUAGAAAAUGCUGUAUUAUUGGAAAAAUAGAGGGGUCAUACUGUGAAUCACAGCUUAUGUGUGGUAAUAAUAGCUAUAGUAUGCUUAAAAUUUUGGAACCUAUUGUAUUUCCCAUUUGGAUGUAAUUAAAUACAUACAUCAUUCUAAUAAACCUCUCAAAGAAGAUUGUGAACUUUGGAAGUGGGGAAAGGAAUUAAUGGCAAUGUAUUUCAUAUUGGUG
ensembl:lncRNA